rnacentral:rRNA from 1 species
AUCUACGGCCACACCACCCUGAACAUGCCCCAUCUGUCGGAUCUCGGAAGCUAAGCAGGGUCGGGCCUGGUUAGCACUUGGAUGGGAGAAAGAGGAAGAGACACCAGGUGGACAAUGCUU